ACGGCGGUGGCGGAGGGAGAGCUGGCGGAGGAAAAAUCAGCGGCAGUGGUUCACCUUCUGAAACAAACAGGAAGCGACACCGCGCUCCUGUCCACCUGCAACGGCCGAGGACUGCGUAGGGAGACAGCCGGGCCGUGGGUUUCCAUGUCACGUAGACUUUCUGACGUGAGAAACUACUCUGUGGUGAAGACGUAGCUGAUUUAUUAACUUUCGGCUGUUCGUUCCGCCGGUACAGGCUACUCUUCAACGACCUCACACCGUAGAGAAACUAUAAAGAUGCAGUGUCCCAGCCGCUGUCCAGACACCCCCAGUGAGGAGCAGAGGCACAGGAAAUAAGAGACUUCAGGAAACAGCAGGUCCUUAUGGUUGAGGUGGUGUGUGCUGCCCCUUGCCAUGCCUCCUGCCAUGACAGACCUCCUGGACAUAUG